AAAGAUGGCUUUCUGUUUUGUUUACAGUUGAUGCCUUCCUUGACAUUUCUUGUGUUGUCGAAACAUCUUCUAUUCUCAAAGUCCUGCCAGACUUCUCUCUUGCUUUCCAUCUGUUUUUCUGUGCCCCCUUACACUUCAUCCCCUGCCUCCUUUCUCUUUUCUGCCUUUUCUAUCGGUCACAGACACUGUUCUGUACCAGGCGACCUCAAGGACCAGGUGGUCACAGACACUGUUCUGUACCAUCUGUAUUAAAGGACCAGGUGGUCACAGACACUGUUCUGUACCAUCUGUAUUAAAGGACCAGGUGGUCACAGACACUGUUCUGUACCAUCUGUAUUAAAGGACCAGGUGGUCACAGACACUGUUCUGUACCAUCUGUAUUAAAGGACCCAGGUGGUCACAGACACUGUUCUGUACCAUCUGUAUUAAAGGACCCAGGUGGUCACAGACACUGUUCUGUACCAUCUGAAAAACUUCUGAAUAAGGACACAGACGGUCACAGACACUGUUCUGUACCAUCUGAAUACCCUGUAAGUAAGGAAAAAGACAAUCUAAGACACUGUUUUGUACCCUUGGAAAAUUGAAAAGAGACAUGUUUUUUAUUCA